rnacentral:rRNA from 1 species
AUGAACGUUGGCGGCGUGGAUUAGGCAUGCGAGUCGUACGAGAACCCCGCAAGGGGGGACAGUGGCGAACGGGGUAGUAAGGCGUAGGUGACGUGCCCUGCGGUCGGGGAUAGCUUAGGGAAACUUAAGGUAAUACCCGAUAAUCCCGGGAGGUUUGAAGACCAUCCGGGCAAAGGUGUGAUUCCAUCACAGGAGCGGCUUGCGUGGUAUUAGCUAGUUGGUGAGGUAACGGCUCACCAAGGCUGCGAUGCCUAGGGGAUGUUAGCGCAUGAUCCCCACCACUGGGACUGAGAUACUGCCCAGACACCUACGGGUGGCUGCAGUCGAGAAUCUUCGGCAAUGGGGGAAACCCUGACCGAGCGACGCCGCGUGUGGGAUGAAGGCCCUUGGGUUGUAAACCACUGUCAGAGGGGAUGAAGUGCAUGGGGGUUCUCCCCCGUGUUUGACAUAGCCUCAGAGGAAGCACGGGCUAAGUUCGU